GCCUAGGUGGCUCAGUCGGUUGAGCGUCUGACUUUGGCUCAGGUCAUGAUCUCGUGGUUGUGAGUUCAAGCCCCACGUCGGGCU
rnacentral:tRNA from 1 species